rnacentral:rRNA from 1 species
AUUGAACGCUGGCGGCAUGCCUUACACAUGCAAGUCGAACGGUAACAGGUCUUCGGAUGCUGACGAGUGGCGAACGGGUGAGUAAUACAUCGGAACGUGCCCGAUCGUGGGGGAUAACGGAGCGAAAGCUUUGCUAAUACCGCAUACGAUCUACGGAUGAAAGCAGGGGACCGCAAGGCCUUGCGCGGACGGAGCGGCCGAUGGCAGAUUAGGUAGUUGGUGGGAUAAAAGCUUACCAAGCCGACGAUCUGUAGCUGGUCUGAGAGGACGACCAGCCACACUGGGACUGAGACACGGCCCAGACUCCUACGGGAGGCAGCAGUGGGGAAUUUUGGACAAUGGGCGAAAGCCUGAUCCAGCCAUGCCGUGUGCAGGAUGAAGGCCUUCGGGUUGUAAACUGCUUUUGUACGGAACGAAAAGACUCUUUCUAAUAAAGAGGGUCCAUGACGGUACCGUAAGAAUAAGCACCGGCUAACUACGUG